AAAAAGUAACUUAUGUUUAAAAGAUAAAGAGGAAGUGAUUUGUUGCUAUUUUUGGGAUUCUGAUUGGCUAACGCGGCCUUGAGCUUCUCGUUACACUGCUACCUAAAGGUUUGGCAUGCUCUUGACGGCAUAUAUACACGGGUUAGUGUAAACAAAAACUUUUCUGAAAACUGACAGGUGUGCACGAUGUUAUUUUUGAAAACGGAGAGGGUGAAAUGUCCGUUUAUGGAA